CAUUGAUCAGGGGUAAUUUUGUCCAAAAGAAUAUUAGUUAAUAGAUAAAGGCUAUUUUAAUAAAACUUUUUUAUUUGGAGCUAAAAUUUGAAAGCCACCCCAAUUUUGGUCAAUUUUUGAGAUUCACCUGUUUAAACUGGUGAUGAUCAUCGUGAUUAAAAAUUAUAUUAUGCUUUACUUGGGAUGCUAAUCGGGAUUGAAAAUUUUCUUUCAUAAUAUCAAUUACUAUGCGUAUACUACUG
rnacentral:lncRNA from 1 species